rnacentral:tmRNA from 1 species
GGGGGCGACCUGGUUUCGACGUGGGUAGCAAAACCUUGAGUGCAUGCCGUGGACAGUACACCACGUAAAACCUACUGAACACAAGUAUUCGCAAAUGACGAUAACUACUCAAUGGCUUUAGCUGCUUAAACACAGCACCAUUCUUCUGACUACAUGUACUUAUGCGUGUAGCGUCUUUCGGGACAUUCAGAAGUCACAUUACAUAAGAUCGCGUCAGAACUUGGUUCGGAGUUCAAAACGUUAAAUUCAAUCGAAAUCGCUAAUGAUUUUCCUGGCUCGGCGGGUAGUCAUUAGUUAAAUAAAAAGCACGAGAUAAGCAUGUAGACCUUUAGGCGGAAUGCUUGCGGACGCGGGUUCAAUCCCCGCCGCCUCCACCA